rnacentral:sRNA from 1 species
CCUUUCUUGUCAGUCAAAAAGACGAAAAUUAAAAAAUAUGUCUGCAUAUUCAGCUGUAGGAGUAUAAUGGCAGCGAAGGGAAACUUUUGCCCGAAUUGGCUAACCCAUCAUCAUGGCCUUUGAAAUCACUUGUGAAAGCAGCUGCAGCUUAAUCCCGUAACUUCAUGUCCAGGGUGCUCAUGUUGGGCUUGCAUCUUUCGGAUGCAAAGAUACUUUUGAGUGAGAGCUGCCAAUUAAUGCGAAUACUUCUCUGUGGGAAUCAAGGACGUGAUGUGACUCCAUUCGCAGCCCGGCCACUUUGUUUUUGGCUUGCCAUGGAUCCCUUUUCCUCUGCAAUUUUCCAAAUUACAUUUAAAAUUUUGCAUUUCUGCCUUCCGUCCCUUUCACUCGUCCGUUGUUUGGGCUUAGAGCAAAAAUAUUUGUAUAUAAAUAUUUGCCAUGCUU